rnacentral:tRNA from 1 species
ACGUCUUUAGUUCAGAUGGUAGAACGUAGGUUUCCAAAACCUAAUGUCGAGGGUUCGAGUCCUUCAAGGCGUG